GCGUAUAUAAAUGUUCAUACUAGAUCUAACUAACAUAAAUUAGGUAAGGAAAAGGAAAAUAAAAAUAGACGAUACCCACACUUACUUAAAGUUGUAUGGCAGUAGUAUGUAUUGCUUGUAAUUUUGUUGAUCCAAUAAUUUGUAUAUUGCAUCCAAUUUAGACUUUCAUUGAUCCCAUAUCUGAUCUUGGUUAACAAGCGAUGGAUCCAUGAAGCUAAUAUUGAAGUAGGAUUUUUGGCGGCACCUCU
rnacentral:lncRNA from 1 species